CGCCGCGCUCAGCCGCUCGCUGAGGGAGGAGGCGGUGGCGACCGUUUCUCUGUCGCGUGGCGGUGGGGAAAGAAGGUUGCCGUUACCGCCCUGCUAUACCCGUCGUUUUCCUCCAGAGAGAAGAAGGGGUGGGCGAGAGGAGCGGGGUCUCUCUGUUCGCCCCUAAGCAACGCUCGCCCGCCCGGGAUGUCUUUGGCGGAGUAGGAGGGCGGCGAAGAUUUGGCGUGACGACAUGGCCGCGGAGCUCCGCAGCGGGGGAGAGCCGGAUCAGAAGCUAAAUGUUGCAUUUGAACAGGGUGAAGCAGAUGAGAUUUUGAGUAGCGCUGCUGAGAAAAAUGUCGCUGGAGGUGAUGGCAUAUCCAGAUCCACGAUGACGGACCAAAGCUUGAUAACUAAAAAUGUAGAGCAUGAAAAAUGCAUGGACGAAAUGAGGGAACAGCUGCAGAUUUAUCAGGUGCAGAUGAAUGAGAUGAGACAGAAGUUUGAACAAGUCACCGCAGAAAACAGAAGGCUACAUGCAGAGUUGAAAGAGUCUCUUGAGAUGCAACUGGAUGCUCUUCCUUUCAUGCCUCUGGGAACUGUUAUUCCUGCAGAUGAAGAAAUACUGAGAAACCUUCAGGAACAACUACAGCUGACUAAUCAAGAAAAAGAGCAAGCAAUAGAGCUAUGGCAGACGGUAUCACAAGAGCUCGAUCAACUCCAGCAGCAGUACCAGCAACACAUGACUCAAACACAAAUUCACAUGGCUGAAAGACUAAAACAGCAAGAUCAGCUGGCUAACUUUCACCAGCUAACUACACAACUGCAUGCAGCCAAUGAGAAAACAGAAUUGAGCAAUCAAUUUCUGAAAACUGUAGCAGAACAGAAUGUGGAACUAGAGCAGCUACAAAAACAACUGAGGCAAGCUAAAAUAGAUAGAUGGACAGCAAGUGCUAAGGUUGAUGAAAUGAUCAGAUUGACAAAGAAGCUUCAAGGCCAAUUGGAGAGAAAGGAAGAAGAUGUGGUAUCUGCCCAGCAAAGAGAAGCAGCAUCUGACAAACUCCUGCAACAAAUGCAGUCUAGUAUAAAACAACUAGAAACAAGAUUACAUGUUACUGUCCAAGAUGCUGAACAGCUGAGAACAGAAAGAGCAGACCUGGAGAAACAAAUCAGAACACUUCAGACGAAGUGUGCUAAUUUAGAAAGGGAGAAGUAUGAGGCAGUUGCAAAAGUCCAAGAUUGCAUACAGCUGUUAGAAGAAGCUAACCUCCAAAAAAGUCAGGCACUAUUUAAGAAGAAACAAAAGGAAGAGGAAAUCAAAAAGAUGAAAGAUGAAAUAUUUCAGCUUGCAGAAGAUACUGCUGCAAGAAUUAGAAAGGAAGUAGACUCUGCAAAGAAACAAUACAAUGUGCAGAUCUCUCAAUUAACAGAAGAACUUCUGGCUCUUCAUAUGGAAUGUGGUGAAAAGCAAGGUCAAAUAGAGCGUGCCAUUAGAGAAAAGCGAGCAGUGGAAGAAGAACUUGAAAAGAUUUGCAGAGAAUACGGAGGACAUGAAUCUGACAAUAGAAAACUAGAGCAACUGCAUCAGAAAUAUCUAUUUGCAGAGACUACAAAAUGUGACCUUCAGCUGAGUCUGCAAACAACACAACAUAAACUGAAGCUGCUGGAAAUGAACUUUGAGGAAGAGAAAUCUAAUUACCAGAAGAAUAUCUGUAACUUGCAAAGCAUUCUGGAUUCAGAAAGAGAAAAAAGUGGCUUCAUUGGUGAACAAAGGUUAAAGCUUCAGCAAGAGAACGAACAAUUGCAAAAAGAAAUUGAAAGCUUGAAAAAACUGGCCACAGAGGCACAGCAAAAAGCUAAAAUAAAGAUAAGCACUAUGGAGCAUGAGCAUGCUGUGAAAGAACACGGAUAUGAAGUCCGUCUUAAGGAAAUGGAAGACAUUAGUCAAAAGUCUACUGCUGAACUUCGGCAUCUGUUGGCAGCUCAGCAAAAAGCAACAAACAGAUGGAAAGAAGAAACAAAAGUUCUUACUGAAACUACAGAAGCCAGGAUCAAUAAGUUAAAAAGUGAUCUGAGUCAACAAAAGCUUCGUAACCAGGAGCUUAUUGCUCAGCUGGAAACAGCAAACGAUAAAGUAAUUGAGGAUGAAAAAUUAAUGACGGAAUAUCAAAAACACAUCAAUAGACUUCAAACGCGACUAAGCCAGGCAGAACAGAGGGCAGCUACAGCAUCGCAAAAGUGAGAGCCCACAAAAUGCUGACUCAGCAUUUCAGAAGAACAAACAGCCAGAGGCAAGGCAGGAGAGGACUCUUUAAAGGUGCCACGGAGAACAAAACUGAGGCUUAAAUAAGCUCAGCACAUUAACUACAUGGAAGAAAAAGGCUACUUCUGCGAAGGAGCUGGAAAAUAUCUAAGAUGAUGUAUUAGUAAUAUUCACACCAUGCUGGAGGUAACAAAGAAGGCUGGCUGAAGAUACUGUCUCUGUUUGCACGGUGGAGAUAAGAAGAAUGCAAACUGAAGUAAUUCAAGUCCUUUAAUGUAGCAGAUGAAACAAUUUGAUACAGUGCUGUGGCAUAUGAUCGGUUUUAGUCUUAAAAAAGAACACUUGCUAUGUCCAACUAUGACAAAAUUGUUUCCAAGGAAUAGAGGCCAUUCUACUGAAAUUCUGAAACGGCUUUGUUCACAUACAGUUGAUACUUCUUUUCAUUUUGUAGUGCAGUAACUUGAGAACAUUUUCAAGAUCUUACAUGAAUUGCAGUAAGACAGUAAUAACAACAUGAAUGUCAAAUAGUUCUUAUGGUAGGUGCUACAACUGGGAAAUGUCUCUAUUGCCUUCCAUUUUUAAGAGUUCACUUCAGUUUGCUAUGUUUCUGGGAAACAGUUAAAGUGUUGCUAUAGCUGUUCUUACAGCUAAGGUUUUAAGGACCGUAACCUUUCUUCAGUUUUGCUUCCCCCUCCCCUCCCUCCAUUACUAUUUUACAAUUGUUCCUUGCUUUUCCAUUUGGAACUUCAGUUCUCUGUUACUUCAGUUUGCACAAAGCUGGUCAUCCAGCUUUUAUGCAUUUUUAAAUAGUGUGUUCGAAUUCUACAAAUGCCAGUAUGUGGGAAUCUUUGAUCGAUGAGAAACUUGAUACGUAUUUCUCUAAAAUUAUAGCUGAAUUCUGUUUUCUAUUUCACCGUAUAUAAUAAACAUUUCAUACAUGUCACUAA